rnacentral:rRNA from 1 species
AGCGUAGACGGAAGAGCAAGUCUGAUGUGAAAGGCUGGGGCUUAACCCCAGGACUGCAUUGGAAACUGUUUUUUCUUUGAGUGCCGGAGAGGUAAGCGGAAUUCCUAGUGUAGCGGUGAAAUGCGUAGAUAUUAGGAGGAACACCAGUGGCGAAGGCGGCUUACUGGACGGUAACUGACGUUGAGGCUCGAAAGCGUGGGGAGGCAAAACA